rnacentral:rRNA from 1 species
AUUGAACGCUGGCGGCAUGCCUUACACAUGCAAGUCGAACGGUAACAGGUCUUCGGAUGCUGACGAGUGGCGAACGGGUGAGUAAUAUAUCGGAACGUGCCCAGUCGUGGGGGAUAACGCAGCGAAAGCUGUGCUAAUACCGCAUACGAUCUAUGGAUGAAAGCGGGGGAUCGCAAGACCUCGCGCGAUUGGAGCGGCCGAUAUCAGAUUAGGUAGUUGGUGGGGUAAAGGCCCACCAAGCCAACGAUCUGUAGCUGGUCUGAGAGGACGACCAGCCACACUGGAACUGAGACACGGUCCAGACUCCUACGGGAGGCAGCAGUGGGGAAUUUUGGACAAUGGGCGCAAGCCUGAUCCAGCAACGCCGCGUGGAGGAAGAAGUCCUUCGGGCGUAAACUACCUGGACUGGGGACGGAGGAAGGACGGUACCCCGACGUAGAAAGGGACGGCUAACUACGUGCCAGCAGCCGCGGUAAGGAGUAGUACA